CAGUCGCCGCGGGAAUACGAAGGGGGCUAGCGUUGCUCGGAAUGACUGGGCGUAAAGGGCGCGUAGGCGGAUGGCACAGUCAGAUGUGAAAUUCCCGGGCUUAACCUGGGGGCUGCAUUUGAUACGUGUUGUCUAGAGUGAGGAAGAGGGUCGUGGAAUUCCCAGUGUAGAGGUGAAAUUCGUAGAUAUUGGGAAGAACACCGGUGGCGAAGGCGGCGACCUGGUCCUUUACUGACGCUGAGGCGCGAAAGCGUGGGGAGCAAACAGGAUUAGAUACCCCGGUAGUCCCUGUCUCUUAUAC
rnacentral:rRNA from 1 species